rnacentral:rRNA from 1 species
ACUGUGGGGACGCAGAGGGAUAAGAUGACCGGGGGACAGAUUCCCGGGCAAGCGCAGGAGGUGUCAGGCAGGCAAAUCCGCCUGAUAAGCCAAAGGCGUGACGCGGACCGAACUAAAGUAGGGAAGCAUCUGAUUCCAGCUGCCGAGAAAAGCCGCUAUUGUGUACCAUGUGCCCGUACCGUAAACCGACACAGGUGGAUGAGGAGAGAAU